CUCUUCUCUUCUUCUUUCUUCUUCUCUUCUUUUCUCUUUUUUUUUGUUUUCAAUUGCUGUUUUUAUUUUCUCCUUUUUUGCUUGUUGCUUUGCUUGUUUGAGUUGUAGGUGUUGACGACGGUGGGCACGUUGGCGUUGGUGCGACGGCGGUAGCAAGUGGGCUAGGGAGAGGUAGGCCGGCCGCCGCCGUUGCAGGCGCAAGUUGGGCUGAUUGCUGUCAGAGGGACCAAAAUAUAAAUACAGCAAAAUUUUUGGGGCCAAAACGUAAUUUAGAGAAAGUUUAGGGGUUGAAAUGUAAUUUUGAGAAAGUUUAGGGGUCAAAAUGUAAUUUAGAAAAGUUUAGGGGUUGAAAUGUAAUUUCAAAAAAGUACAGGGGUCAAAAUGUAAUUUUUUUAAUUUUUUUUAAUUUUUUAACACAAAA